rnacentral:rRNA from 1 species
CCCUUAGAUGUCCUGGGCCGCACGCGCGUUACACUGAUGCAUUCAACGAGCUUAUAACCUUGGCCGAGAGGCCUGGGCAAUCUUGUUAACGUGCAUCGUGAUAGGGAUAGAUUAUUGAAAUUAUUAAUCUUGAACGAGGAAUUCCUAGUAAACGCAGAUCAUCAAUCUGCAUUGAUUACGUCCCUGCCCUUUGUACACACCGCCCGUCGCACCUACCGAUUGAACGGUUUAGUGAGGGCCUCGGAUUGGUCUCGGCCCGCUCUUUACCGGGCGGCGCCGUUGGUCGAGAAGACGCUCGAACUCGAUCGUUUAGAGGAAGUAAAAGUCGUAACA